AACGAACGCUGGCGGUUUGGUUAGGCAUGCAAGUCGUACGCGAAAGUCUCCUUCGGGGGAUGAGUAGAGUGGCGAACUGGUGAGUACAAGGUGACUAACCUGCCCUUGAGUGGGGGAUAACUUCGGGAAACCGAAGCUAAUACCGCAUGGUUUCUUGAUCUCUCGGGGUUGAGAAUAAAGCAGUAAUGCGCUCAAGGAUGGGGUCACCCCCCAUUAGCUUGUUGGUAGGGUAACGGCCUACCAAGGCUGCGAUGGGUAGCUGGACUGAGAGGUUGGCCAGCCACACUGGGACUGAGAUACGGCCCAGACUCCUACGGGGGGCAGCAGUCUAGAGGCUUCGACAAUGCCCGAAAGGGUGAUCGAGCGACGCCGCGUGCGGGAUGAAGGUCUUCGGAUUGUAAACCGCUUUUGUUUGGGAAGAAGGCCUGUGUCGUGAACAUGGGAUUGACGGUCCAAACGAAUAAGCCCCGGCUAACUCCGUGCCAGCAGCCGCGGUAAGACGGAGGGGGCAAGCGUUGUUCGGAAUCAUUGGGCGUAAAGGGCUCGUAGGCGGACUAGUAAGUCUGGCGUGAAAUCUCCACCGCUCACCGGGGAGAGGUCGCUGGAUACUGCUAGUCUUGAGUUCGGUAGAGGGU
rnacentral:rRNA from 1 species